rnacentral:rRNA from 1 species
UACGUAGGGACCGAGCGUUGUCCGGAUUCAUUGGGCGUAAAGAGCGUGUAGGCGGCCAGACAGGUCCGUUGUGAAAACUAGAGGCUUAACCUCUAGACGUCGAUGGAAACCGUUUGGCUAGAGUCCGGAAGAGGAGAAUGGAAUUCCUGGUGUAGCGGUGAAAUGCGCAGAUAUCAGGAAGAACACCCGUGGCUAAGGCGGUUCUCUAGUACGGUACUGACGCUGAGACGCGAAAGCGUGGGGAGCGAACAGG